GCUGCUGUAGCUCAGAUGGUAGAGCACUUCAUUGGUAAUGAAGAGGUCAGCGGUUCAAGUCCGCCCAGCAGCU
rnacentral:tRNA from 1 species